rnacentral:rRNA from 1 species
AACGAACGCUGGCGGCGUGCCUAACACAUGCAAGUCGAACGUGAAAGUCCUUCGGGAUGAGUAAAGUAGGCGCACGGGUGAGUAACACGUAGGUGACCUGCCGUUUAGAGGGGGAGUAACCAGAAGAAAUUUUAGGCUAAUACCGCAUACGAAGUACAAAACUUAGAGUAGUACUUGAAAGAAUGCCUCUGUAUAUGCAUUCACUAAACGAUGGGCCUGCGGGACAUUAGCUAGUUGGUGGGGUAAAGGCCUACCAAGGCAACGAUGUCUAGCCGGUCUGAGAGGAUGAUCGGCCACACUGGAACUGAGACACGGUCCAGACUCCUACGGGAGGCAGCAGUGGGGAAUAUUGCGCAAUGGGGGAAACCCUGACGCAGCAACGCCGCGUGAGUGAGGAAGGACUUCGGUCUGUAAAGCUCUGUAAUGUGGAAAAUGGUUAGUGGUCUAAUAGGCCAUUGAUUUGAUGGUACACAUAGAGGAAGCA